UCCACAUUGGUUAACAGUUCU
rnacentral:misc_RNA from 1 species